GUGGCUGGGACGGCAGCACAGAGAGACAGCCCGGCACAGGCUCCGCUCAGAGCCUCAGGAUAUGGGGAGGCUUCUACAGAUGACCAGCUUGGUGGCAUCAUCGUCCCCACCUGGAGGUGUUUCUGGGCUGGAACAGAGACACACCCCAAGACAUCCCAAGUUCCUCUCUAAGGAACAAUCUCCAGUUCCUUGGCAGGUUGCUAAUAAAUAUUUCCAGUAGGAAGGAGACCUUAUCUGGAACCAGGAGGCGUGUCUGUAAGAAACUCUUAUGAAGUUGUCGGGGUUCAAGUUGGCCUUCCUGUUGUUCAACCUGGUGGAGAAUGUUCCUGUGGACCUUGGCAGCAAGUCAGCAUUCUUCGUUGGCAUGGAGUCAUAGGAAAAAGAGGAUGCUCUUGUCUUCCUCAGCCUGCGUCAUCCUGGAAGAGACACCUCAACCCAGCCAGACUCCAGAGGAGUCCUGGGGGCUCUGCUGACCACUGCAGUGCCUCCACCAGAAAAAUGUUAGGUGACAACGUUGCAGGUGGAUAGAAACCUCCAUCCCUGAGUGAGCGAGGGACGAGGGGAGCCCAGGGAAGUGCCUGGCUCUGCCUCCUCAGUCUGAUCCUCUUGAAGCUGCCAGGUCACUGCUGAUUUGCCUUCUGGUUGAAGGCAUUGUCAGGAUGAGAAGGAAGUGAGUGGCACACUCCGACAGUGCCACGGGGCAAGGACAGGUGUGGCAACGUGGAAGACUCCUGUGAAACUCACUGAGAUGCUAGAGGGAGGAGAAGGGGUGGGGUAAGGGAAAGUGGCUGGACAAACUUGGAUUUCCUCAUGUUAUCAAAGGAGUCUCCAUCAUGCUGGCCCCUGGGCACAUCUGCUCACCUCCUUCCCCUGAUUCCUGCGCUGCAGCCACCAGGGCCAGCCCCUUCCCAGCUGACUUCCAGACCAGCCGGCUCCUGCCCUCACCGCCUCCUUGCACUCAGGCACUGGCAGCAGCAUCUUUGCAGCCAGCUCCUCCUUGAGCCUUCAGCUCCUCCCACACUCAGACCUGUGUAGACCUACUCUGGAGGGUGCCCAGGAGUGCUGGGGAGGAGACGGAACUUCUAGAGGUUGCUAAGGAUACAGGUUCAAUUUUUUUUUAUGUACAUCCUGAGAGAAAGGCUGUCCAGUCCUCAACAAUGCAGCCAUGUUGGAUAAUAGAAGGGGAAUUUUUUUUCUUAAGGAUUUGCUAAGAAAUGAACACCAGAAACCAAUACUUCAUUCUAUUCAUAAUAAUUUAUUAUGGCAGAAACAAAUGAGUACAAAAUAAAAGCAACAAUAGCUGAAAUGCUUGCUGUAAAGCUGUCAGAAGAAUCAAAAUUUCCUGUACAUCCAGAUCUGUAAAAACUGAUCUAGAAAAUAUUAGAGUUAAAAACUACUAUGACCACAAUAGAAAGUAUAAAACUGGCAAAGACUAAAAUGAAUAAACGAUAUGUAGAAAAGAUACUGAUCUAUGAAUCAAAACUUGACUGCAAAAUUUAUUUGGGAGAAAAUUGAUCUUGAUGAAAAUAGUUUUGGUGAAAUAAUUCAUUGACCAACUUUCUAUAUGGCAGCUAAAUAUUUCAAGUGUUUCUAUUUUUAUUUGAAAUGGGUUUAACUGGAUUUGCUCCAGAAAAUACUUUAUUCACAAAAACCCAAUGUUGAUAAAUUUUUUUCAAAUACUUACAUUCAUAAACUGUUAUCAAAGAAUUCCCAGAAUGAAAAAUAUCUGGAAAAAACAGCAGCAUCAAAAUGCUAUGGACCAACUUCUGGUUCCAGACAAGAUGGAAUAGACAAAUUUCUCCCUAAUUCCCUGACUAAGAGUAGCUAACAAUCCCAGACCUCAUAUGUGAAAUAAACAUACAAUUCUGAAUGGUGGAAGGAAGAAUGCAAUGAGCUAGGGGACCUGGGCCACAGCAUAGUGGCAAGUCCCCAGGGGUUAUCUUUUGCCUCCUUUAUAUCUGGAAUGAGGCACUGGAGAAGUGUGCAAAUCAGAAACGUCAACAGACACAGACCAAAAAAAAAAAAAAAAAAUAGAACCAAGAAAAGCUGGAG